GACGAACGCUGGCGGCGUGCUUAACACAUGCAAGUCGAACGGAAAGACCCUGCUUUUGUGGGGUGCUCGAUUGGCGAACGGGUGAGUAACACGUGAGUAACCUGCCCUUGACUUUGGGAUAACUUCAGGAAACUGGGGCUAAUACCGGAUAGGAGCUCCUGCUGCAUGGUGGGGGUUGGAAAGUUUCGGCGGUUGGGGAUGGACUCGCGGCUUAUCAGCUUGUUGGUGGGGUAGUGGCUGACCAGGGCUUUGAAGGGUAGCCGGCCUGAGAGGGUGACCGGCCACAAUGGUACUGAGAUACGGACCAGACUGCUACGGGACGCAGCAGUGGGAAAUAUUGCACAAUGGGCGGAAGCCUGAUGCAGCAACGCCGCGUGCGGGAUGCCGGCCUUCGGGUUGUAAACAGCUUUCGACUGUGACGAAGCGGGAGUGACGGUAAUGGGUAAAGAAGCACCGGCUAACUACGUG
rnacentral:rRNA from 1 species